rnacentral:rRNA from 1 species
AAAUUGAAGAGUUUGAUCAUGGCUCAGAUUGAACGCUGGCGGCAGGCCUAACACAUGCAAGUCGAACGGUAACAGGAAGCAGCUUGCUGCUUUGCUGACAAGUGGCGGACGGGUGAGUAAUGUCUGGGAAACUGCCUGAUGGAGGGGGAUAACUACUGGAAACGGUAGCUAAUACCGCAUAACGUCGCAAGACCAAAGAGGGGGACCUUCGGGCCUCUUGCCAUUGGAUGUGCCCAGAUGGGAUUAGCUAGUAGGUGGGGUAACGGCUCACCUAGGCGACGAUCCCUAGCUGGUCUGAGAGGAUGACCAGCCACACUGGAACUGAGACACGGUCCAGACUCCUACGGGAGGCAGCAGUGGGGAAUAUUGCACAAUGGGCGCAAGCCUGAUGCAGCCAUGCCGCGUGUAUGAAGAAGGCCUUCGGGUUGUAAAGUACUUUCAGCGGGGAGGAAGGGAGUAAAGUUAAUACCUUUGCUCAUUGACGUUACCCGCAGAAGAAGCAC